rnacentral:lncRNA from 1 species
GUAGAAUUAAGUUUUACAUUGUAACCGAAUAACUAUUUUGCCAUCAAGGAGCCUCCUGCCUGCUUACAGGCAAGUCUCCAUUUUACUGUCUCUGAUCCACAGUUUAAUAGUCUACUUCACCUUGCUGAUGUAUAAUAGACACCUUAGUAGUUAAUAUUUAUAUAGCGAUGAUUGAUAAUUACAAAAACCAAUUUGCUAUAGGUUUUUACUAUCAGCUGAUAAUUAAUUUCUAAUAAGCAAGAGAAUUGCUGUAAAAACCAUUUGAAUAAAUGCUCUACAAGAUUUAAGAAGGUUGGUUUCUCUCCUAAAUAUAAGUUACAUCGCUAAAACAAGAAUCGAUCAUUAUGCCCAUAUUUAAAUGUUCAUCAGCAUUGUCCUUGACUCAACUACUAGAAAGAUGUGGCGGUGAGAAUUUGUAUUCUCAGAUGGUGGUACUUUUCUUUCUACUCGCACGAUGUAUGGUACUUUCUUUCCAAUCAAGCAAAAGAAAACAACAUAAAAUCUUGUUGAUAUCCUAAACUCAACUUUAAUAAGCUGGUUGAAUGGCAAAAUAUAUCAAAUGGUAAAACAAAAACAGACAACUUUAGAGAUGAUUAAUUACUUUAGAGAAGAAGAAAUCCAAAAUGUCUUUUCUACUUACCUGUCAGAAAAAAGCAAUUGUUUGACUGCUUUUGUUGCAGGAGAGAUUGUUAUUUCUUUUCUUCAGAGAGAUUGUCAGCUACAGAUUCCUCCAAUGCCAUCUCACGUGUCCCUUGAGGCACUCUAUACCAAGGUUCACCGUCUCGGUGCUGAACCCAUACCGGUACCACACUAGCACAACGUCGGUACGGUACGAAAUUUUUUUGGCAUAUCGAGUAUUGGUAUGCCACCCAUAACCGAAUACUGGUACCGAACCAGUACGGUACUGUACGCCUUGUACUGUUUGAUUCGGGCCGAUAUGGCGUACCUUACUCUAUACCACAGUGCUAACCAGAAAAUCCUCCAUAACACCAUUUGCAAAAUGAGGAAUGAUCAGGCGCCCAGUAUGGAUGAUAUGGGCUAGGCAAUUUUAGCAACAUAAAGAAAAUUACAAUCAAAAGUAGAUGCCCUGGAAAUCCUCCUUCCUAAUCCAGAAACAGCAUAAAAUAAAUAGUUAAAAUAAAGAUAUGGAAUGCAUAUGAUUUAAACAAUACAAAGGUAACAAACCACUCAAACCUUGAGAUCUAGUGAAAGUUCUGUUGCUGUAUCCUUCAAGAUUCCAGCUAUAGCAAACAGAGAAAGAAAGGGGAUGGGUACGAGAACCAUCCUCCUUUCAUGAGCACAGUAUGACAUCUCACUUAAUGACAUAAUAGCCAGCAGUGGUAUACAAAGAUACUUUGCAGGUGCCCAAGGGAGUUCAACAACAAGUGGGCAAAAGUUGAUCAUCACUUUGGUCCAUGGGAAACUCUUAAUUGGUUAAGGAAAAUCUGUCUGAUAAAUUUCUUAGUUGACUGACUAUGCCAUCAAUGUCCAGUUUCUCAGGUCCACCAGCUUGGCCAGCCAUCGCAUUUAUUACACAAGGAAAGGAACACCAAGAUUUAUGACAUUCUGAGAUCCCAUAUAGCAUAUUGCUUAGCUGAAAGUGCAGAGAGUACAGAUCUGGAGAGAGAGCAAGUUGAAAGAAAAUUAAAACUGGCAAAAUAAAUAAUGGGAGAAAAAAACAAGGUGAUAUCUCAUCAGAUAACCAGAACAGCACAGUGCUGUCUGGUAUCAUUAUUAAUUAUGCAAUUUAAAACAAAUAUGACAGGGUCAGCAUCAGCUGAGCAAAAUCUAUAAACCAAACCAAAAAAGGGAUUAAAGAUUUUCUUUUGUUCAUAAAUUACAUACUUCAAAGAAAGAAAUACUAAAUUUGAAAGCUCCCUCGCAACCUAACAGGCACGAGACAAUGGCACUUAGCAUUUAUUUGCAGGAAUCUCCAGGAAGGUAUUGGUUCAACUUUGUUGACCAGGGAUAUUGAUGUCUGAUUCAUGGUUUUACUGAACUAAUCAUAGAGGUAUCCAGUAUAAGAGGAUAGGUCAUGUGACACUUGUAACUUGCAAGAAAUACAUGCUCCAGAAUGAACUGAUGAAUAGCCCAUCUUUCUUCUCAAAAAAAAAAAAGGAAAAUAAACUUAUUCUAAGACCAAAUGAGUAUGAGAAAUAUGCUCAAGUAUAAACAGGAUAAACACAAGUAUUAGUAGAGUGCUGAACUCUUAAAGAUACUCAUCAUUAGGAAGCUGUCGUCGAAGGGUAAGGUUAAUAAUUGGUACCGAAAAGCAUAUGAAAAUAUUCUAUAGCAUCAAUAUCCCUUAUCAAGGUUAAUAUUUUUGGACUUUUGAUGUUAAAUAUUUUCAAACCAGUUUCUUUUGCUACUAAUACUUUAUACCCCAAGACCUCCAACAUAAUCCUUUUUCUCGGAUUUUGACAUCCUUUUAUCGGCAAAUUGCAAGCCCCUUAUCCAUGCUUUUAUCGGCAAAUUAUACCCCGAGACCUCUAACAUCUCUUCUACUUGAACCCCGUAUCCAAGCUUCAUCCUACAAUCAGAAAAAGGGAAAAAAUAACCUGACGACUGAACCCAAAAAGAAGCAUUUGAUGGGGGCAAAGAAAAAGCCCAAAGUACUCAUUUUUGGGAGGGAACCAAAGGCCACAGGAACCGACGCUAACGCCAUGGCCGAGUUCAUCUCUUUCCGGAAGAAGCAAGAAGAUUACACCGCAAAAGAUGGAAAUCUCCAAGAUGGUGAACACGGAACAGCAAGGAACGAAUCAUAGCAUUCUUGAACCGGGGACGGCUUCCCCUGUAGCUUCUUUAAUGUUUAAUGGCGGAAACCCUAAAAAAAAAAAAUUGGGAAAAAGGAGAGACAAAAGGAGGUGGUCGAGGCGGGAGAGAAGGAACCGCCGACCCCUAUAGGGUUCAAACCCUUUCUAUCCUCAUGUCUCAUACGCGCAUCGAUUUACGACAAUUGCGCGUCUAUCGACCCGCUAUUGCAAUGUAUUGCCGUGAGAAUAUAGAUUGGAAUUUUUAUAUAACACCACACCAAUUUUUGGAUUUGCCCCUAUAAUCCUAUAAAUUCAUAUUUUAUACAAAUACUUAGAAAAUAACAUAUUCAGCCCCGGGCAUUAACUAGUCACCGGUCUACUCCUAUAAAUUCAUAUCAGAGCUCCCAUGCUGUCUCUAUAUAAAUAGUAUCUAAAAAAUAUUAUUUAGAUUUUCUGAUUCUAUAUAAAUAACUAUCUAAUGCAAAUUAUGCGGGACUAAAUAUGUAUUCAUAUAGGUUUUUACAUACCGUCCGCAUGAAUUCUCAAAUAUCUUUUUCGUUUAAACCUUAGUAUCGUGAAAGGUCCAAACCUAUUUAAGUCUAAUCAUAAGUAUGAAAAAUUCAAUCAUAAAUACCAUAAUUAUUCCGUAAUCAGCUCAAAAAGGCAUGUGUUGUGUUGCAGUGUUCUCUACAACACUUAAGCCAUAGGCUGUAUCCGUUUUAUACUAUUUGUAAUAGCUUUAAAAUUUUACUUAAAAAAUUUAGUUAGAAAAUAUUAUUUGAGCUUUUUAGUUUUUUUUUUAAUAGAUACUGAGAAUCUAUAUAGUAUAAUUAAUAUAAAACUAAACAUACAUCCGUAUAAAUUCUCAUAUAUACAGCAACUUUAUUAUAGUACUGCAAGUUAACGUAGGCAAUGAUGCCGUUUAGUCCACAGCGGCAAUUAUUGCGAUUGGGCUCGGGGAGGAAAGGGGCAAGGAGGUAGAUGUGGCCAAGGGGAAGAAGGGGCUCGGCAAGAGUAGUAAAGAGCUCGGCAUUGAUGAGUAGGUCAAGCUCACAGGAGGAGUUGGGGGCAACGGCGGCAGCGGCAUGAGAGUUUUGUUGGGGCAUAUGGUGGGGAAGGCCAGGAUUGGAGGUGAAAAUCAUACAAAUACUCUAAACUAAUACUUCAAUCGAUAUUUGAGUGAAGAGAAUUCAUGUCAUCUAAUAUUAAGUUCAGUAUUUAACUAGAGUAAAAGAAUUGUAAUCCUGAAUUUGUCUAACAGCUGCCAUUUAAAAAUGAGCAGCAAGGAUAUUCGUGCAAACAGUAAAUAUUUAAAAGAGUUUUUUACAUAAAUAUUCUUCUAAAUAUCAAAUUUUGCAUAAAUAUCCUAAUUUAAUAUUUACAUGUAUACUCUCUUAAAACACUUAUUUUGCUAUUUUACUUUUUUUUGUUUUUGUUUUUGUAUAUGUACCCAUGUCAUCUAACGCCGUUAAGAAAUAAUGGUUCCAAAUUAAAAUAACUAAAAUACACUUAGUGGGUAGACGUGCAAACAGAAACAUUUAUAAAGGAUCGCGAUUGCGAAAAAAAAGACAGAGACAAUAGCAUAAUUUCAAAAUUUUAUUUUAUUUUUGAUUAAUAUAAGUACAAUUUUUCUUAACACCAUUAGGGGCAUUUAUACAAUAAUAGAGUUUUAUGAGGGUAUAUAUAUAAAUAUCAAUUUUGGAAGGAUAUUCAUGCAAAAUCCGAUAUUUAGAAGGAUAUCCAUGCAAAAAUUCCUAUUUAAAAUAAUGUCUAGGUGAAUAUAUAUUUACAGGGUUAUACAUGUAAAUUUUAAAAUUUGGAGAGCUAUAUAUACAAAAAUUCUUUAUAUUUUUGUAGUAAAUAGAAAUAAUUUUUUUUUUUUGUAGAUGAAAGCAAACAGUGAAUACAAAAAUCAUGCAUAUAUUUGUCCAAUUUUCAGAUCCAGCAUUUUACUUGCCCCUAGGAAGCUGUGCAUGUCAAUAUUUUGUCUUCUUAACAAAACAGAUGCAUACAAUAUAAUUCAACAUCCUAUGCAUAUUUCACCAAUACUUAGUUAAAUAUGUAAAAAGAAUGGCAGGAAAUCUCAUGACAAAGAAGAUUAAGUCCGAAUAAUUUGGAUAUGUUUCUGCAUUGGAAAGUAGGAAAGAAAACAAGUAGGUUUUACUGCUGAACUGUUUUUGCAGCGAAGAUUCACCAUCUUCCCAUGAGAUUCACAAAAAGGUCGUCAUAAUUUCUUCUCCAUAAAGUGAUUUCCCAAAGAUGUCUUCACCAGUGUCUCGAGCGCCCCUCAAGGCACUCACAGAGCAAAUCAGUAAUCCUUCAUAAUUAUAUUCACAAAGCAAGCAAUCAUAAAACAUAAUGCAAAGAACAUAAAAUAAAUUUCAACAACAAGCAAAGGCCAUGAGAAUCCCUCUUCUUGAUGUAGAAAUAGCAUAUAAUGACUAGCUAAGUAUGCAUCAUCAGGAUUAGAGUGCAAUCAGCUCAUAACAUAUAAACUGCCUAUCCUUGAGAUCUGGUAAAAUUCCCAUGAUCCUUUGAAACUCCAGCUACAUUGGACCUUCUUGAUUUGUCGUAUAAGACAAUUUAUGCAUGUCAUGGGCGUCGCAAUGCGGUGCAAUCUAAAUCAAGGCCAACAAUAAAUCGACUUAAACAUUUGAUAUGUCGCAUGCCGUACAGAUGGAUAAAUCAUGGUUUUCCAUAACAAAUGUCAUCUUGAACAAGUUUGAGCACUUAAUAUAAAUAUAUUAUCCAAGCGAGACGAAUCCCUUCUCAGAAAAGGUCUUGCAUGGUCAGAUAUGAUUCAUGCUGAAAUUAUGCUGCCUCGCAUCCUACUAUGCACAAAAGAAAUCGCCGCGUUUAAUUUCACGAUGAGUAGAGUAAGGAAAAUCAUCCAUGAUCUACCACUAGAUAACCACAUUUUUAGGUUGGAAUAAGGUCAUACAUUUUAUUAGUUACAAUCAAUCUUCAAUGGAAGCAUGCCCUUGAUUGUUAACAACAGGAUAUUGUAUCAAUGAUAGAAGGAUCUUCAUACAUAGAUAAUGGGCAAUUUUUUCAAUCUCAUAACCUCACGGAUGAACAUCAAUUACUCGACAGAGUCGCAUUGAAAUAAUAAUGAAUGUUUUUAAAUAAGUUCUUCUAUCUGCAAGUUAACAAUUACACCAAAAAUCACAUAGAAUUAGUACCUAAGAUCAUAUGAAAUUGUAGAAAUUACAGAGCGAAAACAAAAUUAUGUCAGGAUAGUUGUAAUCUAUCCAGAUUGGCUUGAGAAAAUGACACUCCUCAUUUCAAUAGUUGACCUAGAAAAUAUGCUGACAUGACGCUGCCUACCAUCCUACAUGCUCAAGUUCAAAUCUCUAUUUUUAAUCCCACAAAGAGUGGAAGUGAUAGUAAAGAAAAUCUUCUAUAAUCCACCACUACCUGUGUCAGGUUGAAAUAGCGUCACAUAUUUCUAUCAACUACUAUCGAUCUUCAAGGAAAACAAGCUAUCAACAGUAGAAGGAUCUUCAAGCACAGAUAAAGGGCUACAUGUUUUCAAUCUCACACAACCUCUUUGAUGAACAUUAAUUACAUGAUGCAUGCAGCGAUAUUGAAAUAAUAGUAUAUACUUCUAAGUUCUUGCACCUACAUCUGUACAAUGACACUGAAAAAAUACAUAAACCGAUUAAUAAAUGAAACUGCGUAUUAGAUAAGAAGAAAUUACGAAGUCAAAAAUAAGAGUAUGACAUAAAUGCCAUAGGCGGCACGAAGAGGCUUGAGAGAAUGUUGCCUUAUCAUUUCAUUAGCUGCAAGAAUCUUAGGAAGGCACAGGAUAAAUUCAUGUAAAGCUUUUAUUUGGGAUUCUAGAUGUUGCUAAGAUACGGGAGAUUGGAUCAUGUUGUAGUUUUAAGACAAAGGAAGUAAGGUUGCAGGAGUGUGCUUAAGUAUAAAAAGGACAAUUACGAGGGUUCGGGUUGUAUCUUUCUCACAAAAGGAUGAUUGAUGUUCUUUUACAAUGUUAAUUGUUGGAUUACAUUUGGCGCAUAUCUCAAAGUCCAAACCUUUUCAUCUGCAUGGAUCUCAAAGUGGUUAUUAUGCGAUCCAACAGUGGAUUAGCACCAUGAUCCUUUUUUUGAAUAAAAGAUACAACGACCUUCCUAGCUAGUCUGUACUUAAACUAUGCGGAGCACUUGGAAAGGUUAAUCCUUUGCGAGAGCAUAUAGUUAGUCUCAUGGUGAUAUCCAUGCUAUCCAUAUCCGAAACUUUCUUUCAUCCAAGUGUUCAAGAAAUCAAAUGUAAUGCUCCUUGUAUUUGUGAUGUUCGGAACACAAAUGGAAAACCAGUUCUCAGCGCAUAGAGCGUGCAAAAUAGUAGGAUGACUCGGCUAUGGUGAUCAGUUGGAUUUAGAGAGGUCUGAGGAGUGUUGGCUUGGACCACCCUUUGCUUCGAGAUAUUUAGAUAAUAGUGAGGGAUGGUGAGGCCUUCCAGGCCAAGCAUAUUUUUAGAAAGAUCAAACACGGCUACAGAUUGGGUUGCCGUCUAUGUGGCCAGUCGUGCUGCGAGCACCUUGUGGAUCGGAGAGGGGGAGUUGCCUCGGGCACUCCGCGAUCUUUUAUUUUCUUAACUUUAUUGGAUGUAUUCGUACAUGUAUUGUAUGAUAUACUUGCCAAAGCAAAAAAAAAAAAAGCAUGCAAAGUAGACAUGCUUAAUUCUACCGCUAGAAUUGAAGGCAUGAAGUUUGUUAAAUAAAUAAAUAAAUAAUAGAAGGUUGUAAACAAGAUUUUCUUUAUCUAUAAAUCAAAAAUAGAACAAAAAAGAGGUACAUCCUAAAAAGAUUAGAAAUAAUGCCAAGUUCUCCCGCUGAAUAAUUUGCAAGAAGUCCUCCACCUUCAACUCGUCAUAGCACUCGCCACCAAGAGAACAGUCUUCAGCCUAUAAAACUGAUCCAAAAAAUUGAAGCACGGAGCGACAUGUCUCAACACUCUAUCUCCAGUCCAGUC